rnacentral:rRNA from 1 species
UACGGAGGUGGCAGGCGUUACUCGGAUUGAUUGGGUGUAAAGGGUGUGUAGGCGGCGUACUAAGUCGAAUGUGAAAGCCCGUGGCUUAACCACGGAAUUGCAUUCGAAACUGGUAUGCUUGAGUGACUGAGAGGUAGAUGGAAUUCCCGGUGUAACAGUGAAAUGUGUAGAUAUCGGGAGGAACACCAGUGGCGAAGGCGAUCUACUGGCAGUCCACUGACGCUGAAACACGAGAGCUAGGGGAGCAAACAGGAUUAGAUACCCUGGUAGUCCUAGCCGUAAACGAUGUACACUAGGUGUCGGGCCCUCUGGGUUCGGUGCCGCCGUUAACACAUUAAGUGUACCACCUGGGGAGUACGGUCGCAAGACUGAA